rnacentral:rRNA from 1 species
GAUGAACGCUGGCGGCGUGCCUAAUACAUGCAAGUCGAGCGAACGGACGAGAAGCUUGCUUCUCUGAUGUUAGCGGCGGACGGGUGAGUAACACGUGGAUAACCUACCUAUAAGACUGGGAUAACUUCGGGAAACCGGAGCUAAUACCGGAUAAUAUUUUGAACCGCAUGGUUCAAAAGUGAAAGACGGUCUUGCUGUCACUUAUAGAUGGAUCCGCGCUGCAUUAGCUAGUUGGUAAGGUAACGGCUUACCAAGGCAACGAUGCAUAGCCGACCUGAGAGGGUGAUCGGCCACACUGGACCUGAGACACGGUCCAGACUCCUACGGGAGGCAGCAGUAGGGAAUCUUCCGCAAUGGGCGAAAGCCUGACGGAGCAACGCCGCGUGAGUGAUGAAGGUCUUCGGAUCGUAAAACUCUGUUAUUAGGGAAGAACAUAUGUGUAAGUAACUGUGCACAUCCUGACGGUACCUAAUCAGAAAGCCACGGCGAACUACGU